AAUUUCAUGUUUUCCUAAAUUUUCUAUUCACUACAAUAAUAUCAUGUUCACGAUUCGAUUUCAAAUGUAUCUAUCAUAAAGUUUGAAAAUAAAAGAUUUUACGCACCAAAAGCCCGUUAACUUUUAUCUUAAAUUUACAUGACAAUAUUAAGAAAAUAAUUAAUAAAGUUAUUAUCUCUUCUAUGAAAUGGCUCGUUUGAACAAUAAUUUAAUAACGAUUGACAAAAAAGAAGAAGUUAUUAUCUCUUUUAUUAUUUGAGCACAAAUAUAGCAAAGGUAUUCAUCGAUUAACUAGGUUUUGAUUUCUCACUUCAACAAUUAACAUACAAGAUCCUAGAGUUAUUCAGGAGUUCUUAAGUCUUUUUUUGAUAUAACACCAAUCCUAAAUCUUCAGUUUAUACACAGAUCUAUUAGUCUAUAUUUUUAUCAAAAAAUUUUUUAGAGAAGCUAUUAAAAAAGAAUCUAAUAACAACAACAAAUAGUUCUGAAUUUAGCGAUCUGUCAUAUUUUGAAGGAUAAAAGGAGUACAUCUUUUUUAAUUAAAUUAAAAAACUUAUUAAUAAGUUGCAAUAAGACAGUUACUGAGGAAUAAAAAUUCGGAUAGAAUAAUAAAAACUACAAAACAAAAGAUUUUGAUACAACAUUUAUCCUCAAUUAUCAUCCCAUAUACUCUUCCAUCGUUUUGAUAGAGCCAUAGUUCUCACAGUUUCGUCUAAAGGAAGUUUUAAUAUGAUUUUACCCAAAAUUUCGUUUGGGAGAUCGCUAAUGCGAUCUUUAGUGUUGUCUACAUCAACUACAACACUUCUUCCCCGUGUAUCAGACGGUGAUUGCGAUUUCUCCAUAGGUUGAAUUGUUAAAGAAAUAUAUUUUUUUAUGAAGAAGAAAGAAAAGAAAAGUGAAAAUAUUUGUUACUUUAGAUUAUUCAUAGGUAGGAGGAACAUGAGAUGAGAAGGUUUAUAUAUACAUGAGGUAGUUUGUAGUUAAUUACGAGGAGAUAAGAUAAACUAAAUAUAGACCAUACAAUAUAUUUGGGUUGCUGUAAGAAAAUAAAAACCAAAUCAAGUAAGAAUAAUUAUGAUUCCAUUUAAACAAUUUGUAUUCCUUUCACACUCAAAAUUAGGAAAAAAGUUAACACUUUCCAACCUAAAAUAUAUAGGGAAAAUUGGCUAUAAAGGAUAGAUACAACAACUUUUGUCCAUAUAUACCUUUUUUGUAGAUUGGUAAGAAAGAUUUGAGAAAAUAAAUACGAGUAUGCAGAAUAAAUUGAUACACAUAAUUGUAAUGAGGUUUGGUCUUACAAACUAUAUCCAUGGAAUUAGAACCCGUCCAAAAACAAAACAAAUAUAAACAAAAGUAAUUACACAAUUGCAAACGCAUAAAUUAAAUCCACCUGCUCUGAUCUACCACUAAGCUAAAUUACAUCUGAAUUUAUAGUUUAGUCAUGUUUUGAAUAGGAGCAAGCACCUUUUUAGCCUAUUAUGAAUAGGAAGAGUUACAAAUUAUGUCCAACUUGACGUUAUUUGUAUUUAAUUUUCUUGAAUUUCCAUUCUUGUAUCAUCUUCUACCAUCUUCUAGAAGGAGAUAUCUUGCUCUUAAAGGAAUUAUCCAACAUCACUUGUCGAUGGACUUGCUACUGAAGCUACAAGAACAUGGCAUGCUCGGUUAUGUCAUAUUGGAGUUGAUUCACAGAGAAGAUGUUGGAGAAGUACAUGAAGAAGAUGAUGUCAUGGAGGAUAUCACUAAAAAAACCACGAGAAUGAGGUUGGUGAAGUAAUCCAAGGAGUACCACAACUGAGAAGGUCGGGUCGACAAGUAAGUCAGUCGCGGUACCUUGAAGACUAUGUUAUGCAGUCCCAAACAACUUAUAGAUUGUUCAAACAAGCUUAUGUUAAAAGUAAGAGACGUCAACUUUCGACAAGUAAUGAGCCAAGAGGCUAAAGAUGUGCUUUAAUGGUGGAAAGCAUGUGAAGAGGAGUUGAAUCAGUCAACAAGAACGAGAUGGUUCUUUGUUGACAUAUUGAUUCAAGUUUCUAAUCGGUUUAAAAGCUUUUCAAGAGUUUGUAGAGAAGCAAGUCGGCUUGUCUAUUAAAACCUUUCGUACCCAUAAAGGAGGGGAGUUUACUUCAAGAGAGUUCAAUCGAUGUUGCAUAGAGGAGGAAUCUCUAGGUAUCUAAUGAAGAUUCUAAAUGAUAUGUGGGGAGAAGUCGUACGUCAUUCAAAGAUCAUGGGACUACAUCUAAAGAAACUAGAUGAAGAGUCAAGAAGUAUAAUCACGAGGCUGCAUCUCAAGAAGGUAGAUGAUUGGUCAAUCUUGGAAUCAAGUCAGAUUUUAGAGAUGUUUAAACCAAGUUGGGUUUUAUUAGAGAAUAUCAAAAGAAGCAAGGUCAUGGUAUUUUGGUGUUUUGUACUAGUUAUUGAAGUACAAGUAAUAUUUAGCUAAGAAAGCUGAAAUGAGUAUGAUACAUUGCAACACACCGAAAUUUAAUUAGCCCACGAUAUAUCAUAAACAAAUUUUUUUCCACACAAUUUUAACUAAAUCAACUUGUUUCGACAUGUCAAAAUAUCAUAAUAAGGUUUUAAUCCUUGUUGUAGUACCAAAAUAAUAA
rnacentral:sRNA from 1 species